rnacentral:rRNA from 1 species
CGCGUUCAGGGUGCUCGGCGCCAGGCUAAAGCAGCUUUACAGCGGGGUAAAAUGCGCUUCCAGCAUAAUAAUAAUACGGCUUUUAAAGGUACGCGGUUCCACCUGGCUGCCGCCUUUCGGGUUCGCCAGUUACGGUUUCGGGCUCGGCGGCAGGGUCGCCGGGCUCGCGGUCAGAAAGGUGCUAAUACGACGAAACAGCGGCGGGCUCGGCGGCGCACGGCUCAUGCUAUGACGUUCCGGCACAAACGCAUGACGCGCAAACACAAUCAGAUAGCCACGCAGCGCACGACGCAGACGAUGGGUAAUCGGGGUCAGAUGACGGCUGCAACGCGCUUACAGGCUGCCGCAUUCGGUGCUACGUUUAUGCAGCACCGCCGCCAGGUUAAAGCUCAGCGGAAUGCUCGGCGGGCCGCACAGGCUGGUGCUGCAGGUGGUUUAAUGACGAUGCAGCGCAAAAAAACGCACUUAAUCACGGCAGCCGCAAAAUUUUUCGCUAAAAAAACGGGUGCUUUCCGGCACGGUCAGGCAGGUACGGCACGGCUGACGUUAGCUGGUAUAAUGAAAGGUCGGGGUCAGCGCCGCCACCAGCGCCACGCCAAUGCUCACCUGCCAACGGGUCAGGCCCGGCACAAUCGGCAGGCUGCCGGUAAUAAAACGCAGAAAGCUCGGCACCACAUCCAGUUAUUACGGGCCGCUGCUAUAGGUCAGGCACAUAUGUUACAGCGGUUAAUACAGCGGGUUAAAAAAGCCACGCGGCGGCGGCAGGCCCAUAAAGGUGGUGGUGGUAUGCACCGGGGUCUGCAGUUAAAAGCCAUGCAGACGGCCACGUUAAUAAUCAUGAAUCACAAAUUCCACGGUAAACACGUUCGCCGGCAUGGUGCACACCGCACGUUACACCAUCAGGGUCGGCUGCACCACCAGCAGGCUGCUCAGACGACGGCUCGGGGUUUACCACGGGGUGUUGGUCACCGGCGGCUGACGCGCAUCUUACAUCGCGCC